rnacentral:rRNA from 1 species
UACGAGGGGGGCGAGCGUUGUUCGGAUUUACUGGGCGUAAAGGGCGCGUAGGCGGUCGUGACAAGUCACUUGUGAAAUCUCCGGGCUUAACUCGGAACGGUCAAGUGAUACUGUCGGACUAGAGUACAGAAGGGGCAACUGGAAUUCUCGGUGUAGCGGUGAAAUGCGUAGAUAUCGAGAGGAACACCUGCGGCGAAGGCGGGUUGCUGGGCUGAUACUGACGCUGAGGCGCGAAAGCCAGGGGAGCGAACGGG